GGAGGAUUGGCCCAGGGGCAAGGCGUGGGAUUCCAGACCCCAAGAUCGGCGGUUCGAUUCCGUCAUCCUUCA
rfam:Beta vulgaris subsp. vulgaris contig101191.1, whole genome shotgun sequence.